rnacentral:rRNA from 1 species
UACGGAAGGCAGCAGUGGGGAAUAUUGCACAAUGGGCGAAAGCCUGAUGCAGCUAUGCCGCGUGUAUGAAGAAGGCCUUAGGGUUGUAAAGUACUUUCAUCGGGGAGGAAAAACAAAACUAAUAAUUUUAUUUCUUGACGUUACCCGAAAAAGAAGCACCGGCUAACUCCGUGCCAGCAGCCGCGGUAAUACGGAGGGUGCGAGCGUUAAUCGGAAUUACUGGGCGUAAAGGGCACGCAGGCGGUUAAUUAAGUUGGAUGUGAAGUCCCCGGGCUUAACCUGGGAAUGGCAUUCAAGACUGGUUAGCUAGAGUCUUGUAGAGGGGGGUAGAAUUCCAUGUGUAGCGGUGAAAUGCGUAGAGAUGUGGAGGAAUACCGGUGGCGAAGGCGGCCCCUGGACAAAGACUGACGCUCAUGUGCGAAAGCGUGGGGAGCAAACAGGGAUUAGAUACC